rnacentral:rRNA from 1 species
AACGAACGCUGGCGGCGGGCCUCAUACAUGCAAGUCGAGCGCGAAAGUCCGCAAGGAUGAGUAAAGCGGCGCACGGGUGAGUAACACGUGGGUAAUCUACCUUUUUGGAUUGGAAUAACCUGUCGAAAGACGGGCUAAUGCCAAGUAAGUUCUUUGGAACGUGGAGUUUUUGAAGAAGAAAGAUGGCGCAAGCUAUCGCCGAAAGAUGAGCCUGCGUCCCAUUAGUUAGUUGGUGGGGUAAUGGCUUACCAAGACAAUGAUGGGUACCUGGUCUGAGAGGAUGACCAGGCACACUGGAACUGAAACACGGUCCAGACUCCUACGGGAGGCAGCAGUAGGGAAUAUUGCGCAAUGGACGAAAAGUCUGACGCAGCCAACGCCGCGUGAGUGAGGAAGGCC